AGGUGUCCACUUUUAAUAACGGGACUGAUUAUAGUAUUAUUCAUUGAAAAUAGUAUAUCAACUUCUUCAAGAUUGGGUCAGAAAUGUGGAAGAACAGCUAUGUACAAUAGGGUAUCUUACCAAUGUGCUGUGGAAAUCUGGUCAGUGUGAAUGUGUCUAUCGUAUGAAAAAUAUCUAUAAAUUAGAAUUUAUGUCAAAGAUCCGGUAAAAAAAUUAAAUUAUGUAUGUGAACCUAAAAAAAUAA
rnacentral:sRNA from 1 species